UACAUAUUUUCUCCGUCCGGAAAUACUUGUCAUCAAAAUGAAUAAAAGGGAUGUAUCUAGACGUAUUUUAGUUUGAGAUACAUCUCUUUUUAUCCAUUGUGAUGACAAGUAUUUUCGGAUAGAGGGAGUAUAUA
rfam:Triticum aestivum genome assembly, contig: Triticum_aestivum_CS42_TGACv1_scaffold_222090_3B